rnacentral:lncRNA from 1 species
GUCGCGUUGGUUGCGCCGGAUCGCGGCCGGCAACGGCGCCCGGCCUCGUCGUGGUUGUCGUGCGCACCGCGCGCCCCCUCGCCACUGUCGUAGAUGUCGUCGGCUUUGCGCUUGCGCGUUGGUGUGUCCCUUUGCAUUUUUUUCCUUGUGCGGCCUGGCGCUGGUGUCGUGUGGGUGGCCUCUCCUUUUUUUUUCUUGGCAAUCAGUCCUCCUGUUCCUCCUCCUUUUUUUUGGCGGACCCACAGUGUCUU